AUGGCGCUGCCCUCUCAGCCCCUCUCCCUCCAGCCCCCCUCACGGCGCCCAGCCCGGCUCGCCGCGGGGGCUCCGGAGCUGCGGGGCCGCGUCCCCGGGGUGGCGUGGGGCUGCUGGCCGGCCUCAGGAGCCGGCUCCUCCGCCUCCAGCACCACCACGCCGGGGCUCGCCGCCUUCCCCCCAGCAGGUGGCAGCGGGGUCCCGGUGCCAUCGAGCCAUUGCGGGCCGCCCUUCGCAGCCGGCGGGGGAGGCGGCGGCGGCGCUGCCCGGCAUCGCCCCGGGCUCGGCCGUCCUCCCCCCCCCCCCCCCCCCCAUCCCCUUUUCCACCUUCUUCUCGCCGCACCCCGCUUUCCCCUCAAAGUUUGGGGCGGCCAGGGAAGGCGGGCGGCGCCUUUAGGGGGCCGGAGCCAACUUGUCCCGGCUGCCUUUAUUUGCAGUGGGAGCCGAAAUCUGCCAGGCUGCGUUUAUUUUGCUGAUUAAAGAGACGGACCUUGGUCUCGGCUGCUGGCUUCCCGCUGCGCGGCCGCCCUGCUCGCUCCUCUCAUCCCCUUUUCUCCUUCCCUUUCUAUCCUUCCCCUACCCCCCCUUGGCCGCACCAUGGAGUUUACCGAGAGGAAGAGAAGCAGGAAAUCCCAAAGCUUUAAACUGAUAAAUCAAGAUUACCAUCAUGAGAUAUAUAAGAUCUCUGACUACAGCAAUGAUGUUAAUGGGGAGACCAAAGAAACACAACCCGUUUUUUUAGGAGAUGAAAGCCGGGAAAUUAAAAAACAAAUUACAGGGAUGAGAAGAUUACUGAAUGACAGCACUGGAAGAAUCUAUCAGCGAGUUGGCAAAGAAGGAGAAAAACUGAAGGAGGAGCCCCAGGAUUUAGACUUAGCCUGGGCCCAGCGCCUGAAUCCCCCUGCAGAGUCCCAAGCGAGCCUUCAUCCUUCCCAGAGUGGUGCGUGGAACGAAUUAUCACCCCAAGCCAGCCAUUUUUCAGGGCAAUACGGAACCCGAUCCAAAACGUUCCAAAAUCAAACGCGAGCCGUGACAUCCAAUGGAGAAAUCCCAAUCGUGAAUUCAUCAAUUGGACCAAGCUGCUGCACGUGCAAUUGCCAGUCAACUCUACAGGCUAUCCUUCAAGAGCUCAAGACCAUGAGGAAAUUGAUGCAGAUUCAAGCAGUUGGAACUCAAAACAGACAGCAGCCUCCUGUUCCUCUGAUUUGUGCACAAAAGUCGACAAUAUCAAGAAAGAGGAAUAAAAAGAAAAAACUACCCCUCAAAACUGUUGAACCAAUUACCAUGAAUAAGAAAACCAGCACUGCAGAGAAUGAAAAGAAGCUGUCAGUAAACUCUGAAAGAUCAAAUCUGCAAGCAGUUGAACCUCCCCUAAAUUCAGAAACCCCUGUUUCAGGAUUUGGAAUUAUCCUUGAAUCAACUUCAUCAGAUCCAGAAGUGCAACUUGCAGAAGGCUUUGACGUCUUCAUGCCGAAAUCUCAGCUGGACUCUAUAUUAUCAAACUACACUCGCUCAGGAAGUCUGCUCUUUAGGAAGCUGGUCUGUGCAUUUUUUGAUGACAAGACUUUGGCUAACUCUUUACCAAAUGGCAAAAGGAAAAGAGGGCUCAAUGACAACCGAAAAGGACUAGACCAAAAUAUUGUGGGUGCAAUAAAAGUCUUCACAGAAAAAUACUGCACGGCGAACCACGUGGAUAAACUUCCUGGUCCCAGGGACUGGGUCCAGAUUCUUCAGGAUCAAAUUAAACUGGCAAGAAGACGAUUAAAAAGAGGCUCAGGGCCACUUCCAUCUCUGGUCCUUUCUUGGGAUGGCAGAAUCGAAGCAGAGGAUAUUCUUUGUACGUGAGCAAGACUGUGAAGAAAAAUAAGCCAGGCUGAGUAUAGUGAGGCAGAGGCAACUGACUGUGAUGAGAAGCCGGACAUUUCUUUACUACAGACAGGUAACCUUUUCGACACCACAACGGAUGCUCUGAUCGAUGCACACCCAGAUUUUUCUGUUUAACCUCCACGCCGGUGACGGUAGCGGUUCUAAAACAUCCUCUCCUUCGGGGAACAUUCCUGCAAGAUCGGCGCGAGACCUUCAGCCUCCUGCGGGACGUGGGCGUCCGUGCAGCUUUCCCUUCGAGUUUGUGUUGUUCCACGCGUUUUCCGUGAACCCUCAAGCCACGAAACCACCAGGUCGUUUCGCCGGUUCUCAUCUUAAUUAAAGAUGAUUGCCCUCCGUAUUCUAACCCAUUAUUUAAUUAGGAUGGUAGCCACUCUACCUGAAGACGCUCUCUUGCCUUUGUUUUUCCCUUUGCCGUUGUACUUUCCCACAUGGUUGUGUGCUCGUGUUUCAUCUUAAGCUAUGCAGAGGUGGAUGAACACAGCUGGAUGACUUCCCCUCCAUGGGGACCAUGGUGGCAUCUCUCCUUCCCGAACCCAGGGGGCUCGAUGAGUGUUUGAAGUGUCCUGCUCUUGUUCUUCUGCAGACCCACUUUUCCUUUCCUGGCUGCUGCUUCUCUAUUUUAGAGACCCGUAGUGCAAAUAGCCAGUCGUACACAGCUAUAAUUGAAAGGUCCUGGCUGGAUCUAGCAGGGAAAAGAGCAGGAUUCCUACCAGCAGCGCCCAUUUCUGCACACGUAGCAGGGAGAAGCUGUUCCUCGAGCAAGCUGGAGAUGCCCUGUGUGGUCCUCUCGAGCACGCUCUCCUUGCUUUCCCUACCACCUCAGUCUCACAAUGGCUUAGUUUGCUGAUUUCCAGGGCAAGGGUCUGCACACUGUGAUUUCGCGACCACUGCCCUUGGGGACAAUAUUUAAAAUAAAUUUUAAAAAGUCCCCUUUUGACCCGCACUCUAUUGAUGGCUCGGCAGUUAAGAUGAGUGAAUUGAUCAAGGAAUUCACCCUCUUAGAGGCAGAAAGCAUCGGUCCUUUCAGGUCAGGGCUAAGGGAAAAUCGUACGCGGCCCUCCUGCGUGCAAACUGCCACUUCUGCACCUUUCAACAGCACUAAAUUCACUUUAAGAAACAUAGGGGAAAAGUUUAAAAGUCUCGAAGGUCUUACCUGCAGCACCUAUCGAUCAGCAGAGAGUUUGAGUGGGCUUCCUGCCAUUCGAGGGAGAGAUUGCUAGAGCCUUCACCAUUGUGUUUCGUUUUCCUUUGUGUAUUUUAGGUGCAUCUUCCCCCCCCUUUGACACUAUUUGGCCUUUGAGUGUUUCAACUGAAGUGCUAUUACCGAGUGGGAUUUUUUUUUUUUAUUUUUUCAAAGUAUUUAAAGAUUUCUUUCUGGUUUAAAACCCCUGAAGCCUGUUUCUGGGAAGCUGUCGAACACCCGCAGGGGUGGCCUGUUCCCCCAGCACCCGAGAAAUCAGGCUGCCAGCCCUCCCCACCCGCCAGCGAUGUGCUUUUAGGAAUGACCGUGUCUUCUGGAAAACUGUGGAAUAUAUUGAAUGUGCACUGCGAACCUUAAGAAAAAAGAAAAAAAAAAAAAACAGAGUCUUUCCUUCCUUCAUGGCUUGGAGUUGUCUGCAUAGGGCGGGGGCAGCCAUGCCCCCACGCCGUGUGUCCGUAUCGUAACACUUCAGCGAUGGAAUCAGCGUUUUUGUAAAUUUUGAAGAUUGCGUUGGUGUUUACUUACUGUGACUACUGUUCAGACUUUCUUCAGAAAUCUUUUUAUAGGGUUUAUUAGAAAAAAAAAAAAAAAAAAGAAGAAAAUCAUUCCAUAUUUAGGUAAAAACGUCUCAAUCUUCUGUAUAUAUGUUUUAUUAAUAUGUAAAUAUUUAGAUAUUUUUAAAUGACUAUGUUCUUAAUAAAGCGAGAAGGGACUAGUUGUGAUAUGGUGUAUAACAUUGUGUCGUGUUACCGAUCUCUGGGAAACCCUCUUUGUCAGUCCAGAAAAAGAAAACCUACAAUAAAUAACUUUAAUUGAACGUGC